GUAAAUAUAAACGUGUGUGUGUGUGUAUGAGUCUACGUAUGUGUGUCUGUGUCAAGGUGUGUAUGUGUCAGUGUCUAUUUGUAUGUCACUGUGUAUCUGCCAGUUUGUGUACCUGUGUAUCUGUGUGUCACUUUGUGUAUCUGUGUGCCAAGGUGUGUGUAUGUGUCACUGUAUGUAUUUGUAUGUCAUUGUGUGUAUUAGUCAGUGCAGUGUGUGUAUGUGCCAGUGUGU